rnacentral:rRNA from 1 species
AGCCAGACUCCUACGGGAGGCAGCAGUGGGGAAUAUUGCACAAUGGGGGAAACCCUGAUGCAGCGACGCCGCGUGAGUGAAGAAGUAUUUCGGUAUGUAAAGCUCUAUCAGCAGGGAAGAAAAUGACGGUACCUGAUUAAGAAGCCCCGGCUAACUACGCGCCAGCAGCCGCGGUAAUACGUAGGGGGCAAGCGUUAUCCGGAUUUACUGGGUGUAAAGGGAGCGUAGACGGUGAUGCAAGUCAGAAGUGAAAGCCCGGGGCUCAACUCCGGGACUGCUUUUGAAACUGUGUGACUGGAGUGCAGGAGAGGUAAGCGGAAUUCCUGGUGUAGCGGUGAAAUGCGUAGAUAUCAGGAGGAACACCAGUGGCGAAGGCGGCUUACUGGACAGUAACUGACGUUGAGGCUCGAAAGCGUGGGGAGCAAACAGGAUUAGAUACCCCCGUA